rnacentral:rRNA from 1 species
GAUCAUAGCUCAGGAUGAACGCUAGCUACAGGCUUAACACAUGCAAGUCGAGGGGCAGCAUGGUCUUAGCUUGCUAAGGCCGAUGGCGACCGGCGCACGGGUGAGUAACACGUAUCCAACCUGCCGUCUACUCUUGGACAGCCUUCUGAAAGGAAGAUUAAUACAAGAUGGCAUCAUGAGUCCGCAUGUUCACAUGAUUAAAGGUGUUCCGGUAGACGAUGGGGA